rnacentral:rRNA from 1 species
AUUGUUCGCCAAAUAACUACGAGUAAAGACUUAAAACUUAAAAGACUUGACGGUAUCUCACAACAACCUAGAGGAGCCUGUCAAAUAACCGAUACCCCACGAUUAACCCCACCCACUCUAGCCAAACAGUCUAUAUACCGCCGUCGCCAGCCCACCUUAUGAAAGAAACAAAGUGGGCCAAACAACCACCACGCUAAUACGACAGGUCGAGGUGUAACUUAUGAGUGGGGCCAUGAUGGGCUACAUUUUCUAAGACAGAAAAUACGAAUAAACUAUGAAACAAGAACCUGAAGGCGGAUUUAGCAGUAUAUCAAGAAUAAAACACUUAAUAGAAACAUGCAAUGAGAUGCGUACACACCGCCCGUCAUCCCUGUCAAUCUUAACAAAAAUUCAUAA